rnacentral:rRNA from 1 species
AUUGAACGCUGGCGGCAUGCUUUACACAUGCAAGUCGAACGGCAGCGCGGGCUUCGGCCUGGCGGCGAGUGGCGAACGGGUGAGUAAUACAUCGGAACGUGCCCAGUAGUGGGGGAUAGCUCGGCGAAAGCCGGAUUAAUACCGCAUACGACCUGAGGGUGAAAGCGGGGGAUCUUCGGACCUCGCGCUAUUGGAGCGGCCGAUGGCAGAUUAGCUAGUUGGUGGGGUAAAGGCCUACCAAGGCGACGAUCUGUAGCUGGUCUGAGAGGACGACCAGCCACACUGGGACUGAGACACGGCCCAGACUCCUACGGGAGGCAGCAGUGGGGAAUUUUGGACAAUGGGCGAAAGCCUGAUCCAGCAAUGCCGCGUGUGUGAUGAAGGCCUUCGGGUUGUAAAGCACUUUUGGCGGGAACGAAAAGGACUGUGCCAAUACCGCGGUUCGAUGACGGUACCCGCAGAAUAAGCACCGGCUAACUACGUG